rnacentral:rRNA from 1 species
AGUGAACGCUGGCGGUAGGCCUAACACAUGCAAGUCGAACGGCAGCACAGUAAGAGCUUGCUCUUACGGGUGGCGAGUGGCGGACGGGUGAGGAAUACAUCGGAAUCUACUUUUUCGUGGGGGAUAAUGUAGGGAAACUUACGCUAAUACCGCAUACGACCUACGGGUGAAAGCAGGAGAUCUUCGGACCUUGCGCGAUUGAAUGAGCCGAUGUCGGAUUAGCUAGUUGGCGGGGUAAAGGCCCACCAAGGCGACGAUCCGUAGCUGGUCUGAGAGGAUGAUCAGCCACACUGGAACUGAGACACGGUCCAGACUCCUACGGGAGGCGGCAGUGGGGAAUAUUGGACAAUGGGCGCAAGCCUGAUCCAGCCAUACCGCGUGGGUGAAGAAGGCCUUCGGGUUGUAAAGCCCUUUUGUUGGGAAAGAAAAGCAGCAGGUUAAUACCCCGCUGUUCUGACGGUACCCAAAGAAUAAGCACCGGCUAACUUCGUG